GUCCACGCCGUAAACGUUGGGCACUAGGUGUGGGAGGCUGUCAACGCCUUCCGUGCCGUAGCUAACGCAUUAAGUGCCCCGCCUGGGGAGUACGGCCGCAAGGCUAAAACUCAAAGGAAUUGACGGGGGCCCGCACAAGCGGCGGAGCAUGUUGCUUAAUUCGAUGCAACGCGAAGAACCUUACCUGGGUUUGACAUGUAGGGAAAAGCCAUAGAGAUAUGGUGUCCUUCGGGGCCCUACACAGGUGGUGCAUGGCUGUCGU
rnacentral:rRNA from 1 species